UAUUCCUAAUGCGAUCACAAAGACAAAACUCCAACCUAAUAGAAUAGGCUCAAAGCCCUUGCCAGUCAACCUUAUAACUAAAUCUCUCAAGCAAAAACUCAGGAACAGCACCUCGCACAAAGCUAUAAUCGAAAAGUCGAACUGGAUCGAUUAACUGAAAAGGAAGGAAGGGAACUCCUUCCACUAAAGCCGUAAAGACCAAGCAAGACUAGUAAAACCAGCAACUCCACACCCUUAAGCCCAAUACCAUCAGGAGAUGGAGGAUUCAAAAGACACCAACUUGGAAGAGAGAGGAGGCAGAGGUCAUAGCUUCUCUGUCUCAUCUAGGCCAAUAAACACUUUUGAAAUGUCGACUCUUCAGAUACCCAAGGUGCCUUCCUUUGAAACUCUUCCGAAGCCAGAAGCCGAAAGCCUUCCACCAAGCAAAGGAAGAGGCCAAUAACAGAAUUCAGGGAAGCUACCCAUACAAGCAGAGCUUCAAAACCGCAGUUCCCACAACUAGAUCUUCUCCGAAAUACCCUCUCCAUUAAAAGCUCCAAGAUUUGCAAAACAUAACACAUAAACCCAAAACUAUAUAUAAAUCAAAUUAAGAAGGAGAAGGAGACCCAUCAUCGAACACUGUCCUUUAUCUAGAGGGGUAAGAGAAAGACCACUAA
rnacentral:misc_RNA from 1 species